AUGUGAUGAGGAUAAGAUAGCUCUUCUUCCAGAACGACUAGGUGAAUCAGCAGCCGAUGGUUGUGGAGAAGAGGAUGGAGCCUUGUGGCGAGAGAAGAGGCUUGUCCAAGGAGAAAUUGUUGAAAACGGGAAAAAGAAGAUUGAGAAUCUGCUCGACUCGAUUUUUUUUUGGAUAUGUCAAAGUCUUACAUGCUUGGUACACAAGACAUGACCGAAGCAAAAUACAAGAAGUGGGAGAAGGAACCCGCAACACAUGUCUGGGAUGGUGAGCUCAUCUCCUGGCUUUAUUCGUUUCAUUGGUGUCUAAGGUAGUGUUACCAGAGCAGUAUGCCCCUGAUGUGGCCUGGAUGCAGCCUUGUCCGCCAGAUCCCGGCGUCAUGCUUUUUUGAUGGGAGUAUGUACUGAACAAGAUUAGUAGUGCCAGGGGCAUCCAUUGUUCAGGUGCAGCAGAAGGUUUCUUGUCUGUCAUGGGCAUGCAACGACGAGAAGGUGAAAAGGAAGGUUAGGAAACCGAAGCCCAAGAAACUCAUUGGACAACAACGAACCUCAGGACAAUGGUAGUGUGUUUCCAGUGAAGCUGCCACGCCACAUGUCCUUAUGCUCAGGCCUUCCUACAACACGGACUAGCAACCGAGGGGACGGCCCUAGUUUAAUGUUGUCUGGCUUCAUUGACGUGCUUCUACCAUUAGAAGGAAAGGAUGAAGAGAAAAAGGCAGAGCAGAUCGUUCCAAGUUGUACAAUCCUGCCAGGUUUUUUUCAUCUCUAGCUUUAGAGGUUGUGUGGUUGAUUGGGCCCCAGGCUUGGACCACUUCCUCAGGUUGGCAGUGGUGAUGUUCAGCCUAGGCUUCAUGCUCUUCUGUGAACUAUUAGUUCACCUUCUGUUUGCUGUCUCACAUGUGCUUUGUGCUUGGCAGUGAUGUACUGAUGUUCGCCUGAGCUACAUAAUCUCCGCUUGUCAUUGAGGAGAUCUUUUGAGACCUCUAGUGUUGUGACCUGAUUGGAAGAUCACUGCCAGGGCUGGGAGGCCGACUAUCCUCCUCCCCGGUGCAAACUUGUCACAGUGGCACCACGUCGACAUGUUGUCCAAGCGUCCACUCUGGUAAGAACAACUCGUUUCUCUAAUCACCGGUUUCCCAAGCGAUGCAUACACAUGUGUCCUUCUUGCUGAGUUGAGAUGGUGGAUACAUGGAUGACCAAGUCCAGAGAUCUUCAAGCAUGUUUUAAAAAUGCCCAAUGGCUAGUUUUGUACAAAGUUAAACUGAUCUAUUUAUCAAUUUGUAAAAUGCAUUAUGUAUUGCAGAGAGACUCUUCUUGCAUAUAUAUCCGUGCAGUUUUUUCAAUCGUUAGUAGUACUUUCACCAAUUAUGUUCAAGCUAUUAGGUGUCCCCAAGUCUGGGAUCAUGGGGAAAUUAUGAGGUAUGGUUUGCUUCUGGAAACUAUGUUCGACACGUUUAGCAAGAUCCAGUGUUGUUUGAGCACAAAGUGGACUAAUGUCUGGCUGGUCUGGUUUUUUCUUUGAAUAAAGCAAUGAUCUAUAAGCAUGAAGAUUAUUUUUGCAUGUUGGGUUUGAUGCAACAUUCUGAUGACUAUUGCAUGCCUUUGCAGUUACGUGGAAAUUCAUGGAAAUUCAAUUCGAUUAAGUUUAUUCAACUACUAAAAUAUUCAAGUCUUUGUGGACAGCAGCUUCAACCAUUUGCCCAUGGAUUUCACGAAUUGUGUUGAGAUCUUGUACAACAUCGUGGACACAAUGAAGGCAGGGCAACCUGUGGAGCCGAAGAACGCAAAGGUGGGCAUGUAAAUGCGCCUGGUGGCUGGGCAUAGUCGAGAUCCUGUUGUCGGAGAGCUGAAGGCGACGGAGGCUACAUCCUAUCACUGAUGGAGUUGGAGCCAGGGACCAUGGCAAGGUGAGAAGAGGGUCUGUGUAGGAAGGAAGGAAGUGGUACCUUUUCAUUUUGGCUUGUGUGUUAGAUGUUGUUGCUAACACUGGAUUAAUUAUUGUUAUUAUUGUGUAGACCCCGGUGGUGUUGCCUGUAAUCAAAAAUAGUCCAUCGGCUAUUGCCGUGGUGAGGUGGUUUUUUUUACUAGAUACUUAGCUUAGCGACACUUUGUUCCCUUUUUGUUGUACUGUUUGCUGAUGAAAACUGUAUGCUGGGAGGAGUCAUUCUUGUCUUGUCGGUAUUAGAGAAAUUUGCUUUAGGUUUACUCAUUUUUAUCUAGUAGCUGGUUGCUUCAUGUUUACCGUGUAUGUAUGUUGUGAACCAAACGCGAGGCACUGAAUA